rnacentral:rRNA from 1 species
UACGUAGGGUCCGAGCGUUGUCCGGAAUUAUUGGGCGUAAAGGGCUCGUAGGCGGUUUGUCGCGUCGGGAGUGAAAACUCAGGGCUCAACCCUGAGCGUGCUUCCGAUACGGGCAGACUAGAGGUAUGCAGGGGAGAACGGAAUUCCUGGUGUAGCGGUGGAAUGCGCAGAUAUCAGGAGGAACACCGGUGGCGAAGGCGGGUCUCUGGGCCGAAACUGACGCUGAGGAGCGAAAGCGUGGGGAGCAAACAGG